AUGAAAUUUUGGUCAAUCAAGUUUGUAGAUAUUGCUGAGAAUAUAUUGUGCAAGUGUAAUAUUGAUGAUGGCCUUAUUGUAAAAGAGGUGUCAUAUGGAUCUCCUGCUGAGAAACUUGGAAUACUAGUGGGUGACGUCAUUAAUUGUUUCAAUGGAGAACGCAUCUCUACAACAGUUGAGUUAGAGAAUAUGUUGCUAAGCAAAUGCGAGGAUGAAAAUAAUAGCCUUGAUUCUGAAGUGAAUGUCAAACUUGAUGUAUUUCACAUACGCAAGUCUCUCUGGAGUGACAGAACAUUAACUGUAAAAGUGUCUGAUGAUGGUGAAGUUGUUGCAACAGGAGUUAGUUAUCCUUUCGGAGAAGGGACACCAUGA
rnacentral:rRNA from 1 species